rnacentral:rRNA from 1 species
GACGAACGCUGGCGGCGUGCUUAACACAUUCCAGUCGAACUGAAAUGCCCUUCUUUUUUGGGGUGCUCUAGCUGCGAACGUUUUAGUAACACUUUAGUAACCUGCCCUUUACUUUUUUAUAACUUCAGUAAACUGGGGCUAAUACCUGAUAGUAGCUCCUGCUGCAUGGUGUGUGUUGGAAAGUUUCGGCGGUUGGGGAUGGACUCGCGGAUUAUCAGCUUGUUGGUGGGGUAGUGGCUUACCAAGGCUUUGACGGGUAGCCGGAAUGAGAGGGUGACCGGCAAAAUUGGGAAAGAGAUAAGGACCAGAAGAAAAAGGGAGGCAGAAGGGGGGAAGAUUGAAAAAUGGGCGGAAGACUGAUGCAGCAACGAAGCGUGAGGGAUGAAGGACUUCGGGUUGUAAAACGAUUUCGCCUGUGAAGAAGAGUGAGUGAAGGUAAUGGGUAAAGAAGCACCGGCUAACUACGUG